AACGAACGCUGGCGGCAGGCCUAACACAUGCAAGUCGAGCGAGAUCUUCGGAUCUAGCGGCGGACGGGUGAGUAACGCGUGGGAACGUACCCUUUUCUACGGAAUAGCCUCGGGAAACUGGGAGUAAUACCGUAUACGCCCUUUGGGGGAAAGAUUUAUCGGAGAAGGAUCGGCCCGCGUUGGAUUAGGUAGUUGGUGGGGUAACGGCCUACCAAGCCGACGAUCCAUAGCUGGUUUGAGAGGAUGAUCAGCCACACUGGGACUGAGACACGGCCCAGACUCCUACGGGAGGCAGCAGUGGGGAAUCUUAGACAAUGGGGGAAACCCUGAUCUAGCCAUGCCGCGUGAGCGAUGAAGGCCUUAGGGUUGUAAAGCUCUUUCAGCUGGGAAGAUAAUGACGGUACCAGCAGAAGAAGCCCCGGCUAACUCCGUG
rnacentral:rRNA from 1 species